GAGGGUUUGGUGUAGUGGUAGCAUGUCUGAUUCCAGCCCAUGGAACUUCCAGAUGGUCAUCGGUUCAAAUCCGAUAGUCCUCA
rnacentral:tRNA from 1 species